rnacentral:rRNA from 1 species
UAGGGAAUCUUCGGCAAUGGACGAAAGUCUGACCGAGCAACGCCGCGUGAGUGAAGAAGGUUUUCGGAUCGUAAAACUCUGUUGGUAGAGAAGAACGUUGGUGAGAGUGGAAAGCUCGUCAAGUGACGGUAACUACCCAGAAAGGGACGGCUAACUACGUACCAG